UUAAGCGACUAAGCGUACACGGUGGAUGCCCUGGCAGUCAGAGGCGAUGAAGGACGUGCUAAUCUGCGAUAAGCGUCGGUAAGGUGAUAUGAACCGUUAUAACCGGCGAUUUCCGAAUGGGGAAACCCAGAGUGUUUCGACACACUAUCAUUAACUGAAUCCAUAGGUUAAUGAGGCGAACCGGGGGAACUGAAACAUCUAAGUACCCCGAGGAAAAGAAAUCAACCGAGAUUCCCCCAGUAGCGGCGAGCGAACGGGGAGCAGCCCAGAGCCUGAAUCAGUGUGUGUGUUAGUGGAAGCGUCUGGAAAGGCGCGCGAUACAGGGUGACAGCCCCGUACACAAAAAUGCACAUGCUGUGAGCUCGAUGAGUAGGGCGGGACACGUGGUAUCCUGUCUGAAUAUGGGGGGACCAUCCUCCAAGGCUAAAUACUCCUGACUGACCGAUAGUGAACCAGUACCGUGAGGGAAAGGCGAAAAGAACCCCGGCGAGGGAGGUGAAAAAGAACCUGAAACCGUGUACGUACAAGCAGUGGGAGCACGCUUAGGCGUGUGACUGCGUACCUUUUGUAUAAUGGGUCAGCGACUUAUAUUCUGUAGCAAGGUUAACCGAAUAGGGGAGCCGAAGGGAAACCGAGUCUUAACUGGGCGUUAAGUUGCAGGGUAUAGACCCGAAACCCGGUGAUCUAGCCAUGGGCAGGUUGAAGGUUGGGUAACACUAACUGGAGGACCGAACCGACUAAUGUUGAAAAAUUAGCGGAUGACUUGUGGCUGGGGGUGAAAGGCCAAUCAAACCGGGAGAUAGCUGGUUCUCCCCGAAAGCUAUUUAGGUAGCGCCUCGUGAAUUCAUCUCCGGGGGUAGAGCACUGUUUCGGCAAGGGGGUCAUCCCGACUUACCAACCCGAUGCAAACUGCGAAUACCGGAGAAUGUUAUCACGGGAGACACACGGCGGGUGCUAACGUCCGUCGUGAAGAGGGAAACAACCCAGACCGCCAGCUAAGGUCCCAAAGUCAUGGUUAAGUGGGAAACGAUGUGGGAAGGCCCAGACAGCCAGGAUGUUGGCUUAGAAGCAGCCAUCAUUUAAAGAAAGCGUAAUAGCUCACUGGUCGAGUCGGCCUGCGCGGAAGAUGUAACGGGGCUAAACCAUGCACCGAAGCUGCGGCAGCGACACUAUGUGUUGUUGGGUAGGGGAGCGUUCUGUAAGCCUGUGAAGGUGUACUGUGAGGUAUGCUGGAGGUAUCAGAAGUGCGAAUGCUGACAUAAGUAACGAUAAAGCGGGUGAAAAGCCCGCUCGCCGGAAGACCAAGGGUUCCUGUCCAACGUUAAUCGGGGCAGGGUGAGUCGACCCCUAAGGCGAGGCCGAAAGGCGUAGUCGAUGGGAAACAGGUUAAUAUUCCUGUACUUGGUGUUACUGCGAAGGGGGGACGGAGAAGGCUAUGUUGGCCGGGCGACGGUUGUCCCGGUUUAAGCGUGUAGGCUGGUUUUCCAGGCAAAUCCGGAAAAUCAAGGCUGAGGCGUGAUGACGAGGCACUACGGUGCUGAAGCAACAAAUGCCCUGCUUCCAGGAAAAGCCUCUAAGCAUCAGGUAACAUCAAAUCGUACCCCAAACCGACACAGGUGGUCAGGUAGAGAAUACCAAGGCGCUUGAGAGAACUCGGGUGAAGGAACUAGGCAAAAUGGUGCCGUAACUUCGGGAGAAGGCACGCUGAUAUGUAGGUGAAGCGACUUGCUCGUGGAGCUGAAAUCAGUCGAAGAUACCAGCUGGCUGCAACUGUUUAUUAAAAACACAGCACUGUGCAAACACGAAAGUGGACGUAUACGGUGUGACGCCUGCCCGGUGCCGGAAGGUUAAUUGAUGGGGUUAGCGCAAGCGAAGCUCUUGAUCGAAGCCCCGGUAAACGGCGGCCGUAACUAUAACGGUCCUAAGGUAGCGAAAUUCCUUGUCGGGUAAGUUCCGACCUGCACGAAUGGCGUAAUGAUGGCCAGGCUGUCUCCACCCGAGACUCAGUGAAAUUGAACUCGCUGUGAAGAUGCAGUGUACCCGCGGCAAGACGGAAAGACCCCGUGAACCUUUACUAUAGCUUGACACUGAACAUUGAGCCUUGAUGUGUAGGAUAGGUGGGAGGCUUUGAAGUGUGGACGCCAGUCUGCAUGGAGCCGACCUUGAAAUACCACCCUUUAAUGUUUGAUGUUCUAACGUUGACCCGUAAUCCGGGUUGCGGACAGUGUCUGGUGGGUAGUUUGACUGGGGCGGUCUCCUCCUAAAGAGUAACGGAGGAGCACGAAGGUUGGCUAAUCCUGGUCGGACAUCAGGAGGUUAGUGCAAUGGCAUAAGCCAGCUUGACUGCGAGCGUGACGGCGCGAGCAGGUGCGAAAGCAGGUCAUAGUGAUCCGGUGGUUCUGAAUGGAAGGGCCAUCGCUCAACGGAUAAAAGGUACUCCGGGGAUAACAGGCUGAUACCGCCCAAGAGUUCAUAUCGACGGCGGUGUUUGGCACCUCGAUGUCGGCUCAUCACAUCCUGGGGCUGAAGUAGGUCCCAAGGGUAUGGCUGUUCGCCAUUUAAAGUGGUACGCGAGCUGGGUUUAGGACGUCGUGAGACAGUUCGGUCCCUAUCUGCCGUGGGCGCUGGAGAACUGAGGGGGGCUGCUCCUAGUACGAGAGGACCGGAGUGGACGCAUCACUGGUGUUCGGGUUGUCAUGCCAAUGGCACUGCCCGGUAGCUAAAUGCGGAAGAGAUAAGUGCUGAAAGCAUCUAAGCACGAAACUUGCCCCGAGAUGAGUUCUCCCUGACUCCUUGAGAGUCCUGAAGGAACGUUGAAGACGACGACGUUGAUAGGCCGGGUGUGUAAGCGCAGCGAUGCGUUGAGCUAACCGGUACUAAUGAACCGUGAGGCUUAACCUU
rnacentral:rRNA from 1 species